UACGUAGGGGGCUAGCGUUGUCCGGAUUUAUUGGGCGUAAAGAGCGUGUAGGCGGCGCGGUAAGUCGGGUGUGAAAUCUCGGAGCUUAACUCCGAAACUGCAUUCGAUACUGCCGUGCUUGAGGACUGGAGAGGAGACUGGAAUUUACGGUGUAGCGUGAAAUGCGUAGAUAUCGUAAGGAAGACCAGUGGCGAAGGCGGGUCUCUGGACAGUUCCUGACGCUGAGGCACGAAGGUCAGGGGAGCAAAACGGG
rnacentral:rRNA from 1 species